rnacentral:rRNA from 1 species
UACCGGGGGUGCGAGCGCUUGUCGGUAUCAUUGGGCGUAAAGGGCGCGUAGGCGGUCCGGUGAGUGGGGUGUGAAAGCCACGGGCUCAACCCGGGAAGUGCAUUCGAAAAUGCCGGGCUUGAGUACGGGAGGGGGAAGUGGAAUUCCUGGUGUAGGGGUGAAAUCCGGAGAUACCAGGAGGAACACCGGUGGCGAAGGCGACUUCCUGGACGUAUUCUGACGCUGAGGCACGAAAGCGCGAGGAGCAAACAGG